rnacentral:tRNA from 1 species
AGAGACUUAGGUUAGCAACCUAGACCAAGAGCCUUCAAAGCCCUCAGCGAGAGUGAAAAUCUCCCAGUCCCUG